rnacentral:rRNA from 1 species
GACCCUGGCUCAGGAUGAACGCUAGCUACAGGCUUAACACAUGCAAGUCGAGGGGCAGCAUGAACUUAGCUUGCUAAGUUUGAUGGCGACCGGCGCACGGGUGAGUAACACGUAUCCAACCUUCCGUUUACUCAGGGAUAGCCUUUCGAAAGAAAGAUUAAUACCUGAUAGUAUGGUGAGAUUGCAUGAUAACACCAUUAAGGAUUUAUUGGUAAACGAUGGGGAUGCGUUCCAUUAGGUAGUAGGG